rnacentral:lncRNA from 1 species
UUUUUUUCCAUAGUCUUUCUUUCCCUUUUCUAUUUUCUGAUAUAAAGCAAAGGACAAGACUUUAUAGUGAUUAAGAAGCAAACACAGCAAUUCCACUCAUGUUGCCAGGCAACAAGGGCCAUGGAUGUGCUGGAUGAAUGGAUUCCGAGCAUCUGCACGAAGAGAGAUAGAAGGAGCCCGGGAGUGAACUGUCGGGAGAGCCACAGAGGUUAGUACUUUUUGACACACAUGCUUCUGCAUUUUCCUGAGAAGGGAGAAGGCACAGUUAUUUUAAACCUUUCUGGUGGUUUAUUUUUCCAAGAUGUGUUGAAAAUUCUCCUCGAUGGGAAGUUGGCACGGUAUGCUGUAAUGAUCAUCGGCUCAAGAGGGGAAGUAGGUAAAAACGGCCUCUAUUUCCAUUUGCCAAUUUCAGGCCUGUACUACCUAUAACUCGGGCUAUUUCAACAGCCUCCCGCCUGAUCUCUGCGUGUCUUCUCCCCACCCUCACCAGUUCACCUCCUCUAACGGAGUCAUUACAAGGGGAUUUUCCGUCUCCUUAACAGCAACUCCCACCCACUGUGAUCGGCAUUUACCCUCCUCAGUUGUGGUGAAAAAUGUAACAUUGUUGACUAUAAUUAAGUCUGUUUUAUUUUGUUCUUAUUACAAAGCAAUGCGUAAUCAUUAACAAAACAGCAGAAAAAUACAGACACACAAAUGAGCAUCACCAUCCCUUAUCCUGCUCACCAGAGACCAGCACGGCAAAUAUCUCGGUGCUCACCUCUCUAGAUUAUCCUCUGCGCACACGCAGAUUUCUUUCUGAAAGAGCCGCAUGCCCGUAUACGCCAAGUCACAACAUGCCCCACAAACUCAAUAAGAGCCGAAAGGGUCCUCAAUGGAUUCCAUGCGAUGCUGCAAUUAUUUAUCUACUGCCAUAAAACUUGAAAUCGUUAACAGAAUAAACCACCAGUUAUAGAUAAUUUUACUAACCUUAUUGCAUACUCCUGCUCGUCUCCUGCACACAACCGUAAAUAUCUUUAUUAAGUCCCCAGUCCUACACCACUUUUUCCUUUCCAUUUUUACUAGUAUUAACCUAGUAAAAGCCUCUUCCCUAACUUCUUACAGUGAUGAAUUAUUUAGGACUCUUCGGUUUUACAUGUCAGAAGCCACACCUCCAAGGAGCUUAAGCCAAAGUGAAUGUAUGGCUGAGACAGGGCUGAACGCACAGCAGGACCCACACACUCAGACAAGGUCCGUGGGACAUGACCUCCCUCUCGCUGCCUCCCAGAAGUUCCCUCUUGUGUAACAGCUUAACUCUCGGGAAGGCUUUCCCCUAAAGGUGACCAGAUGGCGCGUCAACACCUCUAGGGCUCUGUGUUCUCAGGAAUUCCAGGUAAAGAGGAUUUCUCGGAUUUAGCCUGGGGGUCACGCGGACGAUACACACCUGAGCCACCUACUGAGGCCAGGGGCCCAGGGCUCUGAGGGGAGCCAAGCCUGGAGGACACGCCCACUCUGGAGCCUGGCGACAAAGUCAACCACACUCAAUGAACACAAGAGCCCAAGAAUUAGGAGGGGUCAUUCCCUAGAGCGAAAUCAGGGUGCUGUUACCAGGCAAAGGCGGGACAGGUGCUGGGAAGCCAGAAACAAUAACUAUUCACGACCGCUAGCCUCUGUGCUCCACUUGCUCCAGAUCCACUCACCAGCCUUCUCCGCGUGGCUCUGUGUGGGGAUCUUAUCAACCCGCUCCCUUUCCCCCCGGCUUCCGGUUGGGUUUAGUCAACAGCAGAGUUAAGUCAGAGCUCCAUUUCUUCUUGCUGGGCCAUCAGCUGGCAGAAGCUGUGUUCCGGUACCAAAGACCACGGCUGCUCAUGGGUGACCUGCUCCAGCCAGUUACAGAUCAUCCUCGGACUCUGGCAACACUUCUCUUUCUUUGCGCCUCAGACACAGGGGUGGUAACAGUCCCUGCUGUGUGAGAUCCAGGGCACGCCCUCAUCCCUCUUCUUCUAACCCUGCACACCUUUACCCCAUUCAUGUUAUUUUUCCUGGGGGACCGUGACAGCUGCAGCCUCCCAUUACCUUCAAUCUAUCUAACCCCAAAUCUGGUUAACCAUUAAAAUCCUCAGUCUAGAAAUAAAUGUGAACAUUGAAAGCUCAAGGUUAAGGGCCACUGCUAAUUUAAUACAAGUUACUAGUCACUGUUAUCUAGGCUUUGGCAAUCACAGAGAUAUAUUGAAGAUGGUAACACAUACUAGGAAUCCCAACCGCUUUCAUAUUUGUUUGAUUUAGUAGGUGUAUCUGGAAUAUACCUUGUAAAGGUUAUAUUGACUGCAAUUGAUCCAGCUUCCCUAGAAACAACUGAAGGAAGGAAGGGAAAGAUGGAGGAAGGGAUCUCAAAAAAAAAAAGAAAAAAAAGGAACAGGUAUAAAAAAUUCUGACUUUGGAGUCAGAACUAGGAAAUCGGUCUGGUUCUGCCUGUAAUUAGUUACAGGUGGACUUGGGACCACUGGGUCUUUCGCUGGAUCUCACUGUCCUGAUCUGUCAAACACUGGGAUUUAAUAAUAUAUUAAGUCUUAAUGAACAAAAAUUAAUGAUGCCUGCAAAGCAAAUGCAUUUACAAACAACAGUAAAAGAAAACAAAGAUAUCUCCCUAAGUUGGAUAAAAUUGUCUCUUUUGACCAAGAAAGCAAAAUUUUUUAAAACUAGGCCAUCAUUUAAGUUAAUAAUGGAACGGAAACCCAAGGCACUGACCUCGACUCAAAACGAAAUUGUUUUUUGUUCAGGUUCUUGCCUCAGACCAAAUUUUAUGUACAGACAACAUGGAGCUAUCACCAGACAUCUGCAGUGAAGCCCAAGAAAAGCACUAAUGAAGCCAGCAGGAGCCCACACAGCCUGGCCACGGACACAGAGCAAGAUCAGACAGACAGCUGGGAGUCCGCAGAGGAGCAAGUCCCUGGUCCAGUCUUGGUCCAGCCAAGACCGUGGGAGCUGGAGUAGGAAGAUCAAAAAAAAGGCCAAAGCAGGAAAUGAGCUGUAACUUGACAGAGUCACAAAAGAAAAUAGAAAAACAUGAAACAUAUCAGGUCCAAAGAAGGAGCUUGGAAAGUGUAGCCUGUUUAUUCAGAAAUGAGGCAGUUGAUAUUAUAAAAAGAAUUUUAAAAAAUGUUAAGCUCUGAGGUUUUUUUAUGCUAAAAAUACCCAUUAUAAAUAACCAGGUACAAGAACGGGCAAUAGACAAACUCGGUGUGGGAGGCUGAACCUGUCAGCAUAUUCGGGAAAAACAGAGAGAAAGACUUAGCGGUUUCUUCAGGGCAAGGUCAGGCCAGGUCAGGCCCCCUGUAACGGAGUCCAGGGGGAGACGGUGGAGGAAAGGCAGAGGCUGAACUAUCUGCGUUGACGGAACGGUUCUAAGUGAGUUGAUCAGCUGGGAGCGGCUGCCUCAAAACCUGUUCCCAAGGCUGGGACAUCACGGAAGGAGGACGUGGGAACAAAGAGCGGUAGACUGGGAGUGUCUGUAGUUGGGGCGAGAAGAGAGUGGUGGCUUUUUCAAGGGAUUUGUUGACCUUGGAACGGGAGUUCUAGAACUGCACUGUCUGUUAUGGUAGCCACUAGCCAUACGCAGACGAGAGCAUUUGAAGUGUGGCUAGUCCACAUUCAGAUGUGCUGUUAAGUGGGAAGUAACACAGCAGAUUUUGAAGACUACGUAUGAAAACAAAAUGUGAACAAUCUCAUUAAUAAUUUUUAUACUGAUUAUAAGCAGGAAUAAUAUUUGGGACAUGUUGAGUUUAAAAUAAAUUAUUAAAAUCAAUUUCAUUUUUCGCAGUUUCCUUAUUUUUAAAACAGUUACUAGAAAAUUUCAAAUCACAUUUGCAGCACAUUUGUGGUCCUCACUCCAUUUCAAGUGGAGAGAGCUGUUGUGUGAAGUCCCUUCCUCUCUCCAGGUUUCUGUGACACUAUGACAGUGGGGGAGACUCACUUAGCUCGCACUGUCUUUCCUAUCUCUAAGCCCAGCCUGGUUUCAGACUAAGAAAACCACAUGGGGACACAGCAUCUGUUGUAUCCACAACUCACACCCCCUCAAGAAUAUACAUCCCCUUAGAAGAACAGUCACCACAACCACCUCGCAUGUACACCGCGCACCAUGUGUGCACACAACCGUAUCGGCAUGUGUCUGAAUCAUGCCCACGAACAGGGAAGGAAUAUUAGCCGAAUCACGAGGUACAGUGAGGUCUGCAUUUCUACAGUCAACUGCAGUCAUUUGUUUGAAUGAGAGAGCUUCACCCAUGCUUGCUAAUCAGAGAGUUUCUCUGAAAUUCAAGAGGGUUUGUUGAACUUUGAGUCUUCUGUGUCCUGACUAGAAACCAGUUCACUGAAAGGCAAUCCUAGCGUUAGGUCUUCCACCUACGAUUAAGAGUUCCAGGGCUGCUGGUACGUAGCAGAGCGUGAAAACCAAACCUACUGGUUUUCAUUCCCUGGAAUGAGAACCUCUAGUGAUUCACCACAACGAGCUCUCAGGCUCUCAGUGUCCUCUCUGGACUUGGGCACUCUCGGAAUCCUAAGAGCCACCUGGUCCUUACGGCCUUGUCAAUGUCACUGGCACCUAUCACCUGGCACACUUACCUCUCAGUAUGUGCCAAAUGCAUCGAACUCCUGAUCUAAAGCGGGUUUGGUCCACCCAUAGUGACAGGAUAAUUUUACAUAAUGAUACAUUUGCACAAAAGUUUGCAUAAUGAUACAUUCUUACUUAGGAAAUAAAGGCUUUCCUUCACAUCUGCACUUUGAAAAACUCUUAACUAUUGAGGUCAGUCUCCUCUAAGUAAGGAUUUUGGCUCCUGUCCCGAACAUCUGCACCUUCAGGCUGUCGGACAGUCAUCUUCUUUCCUUUGGGACAGGAACGCCCCUUCCUGAGGUGACCAUCUCACGUCUGCUCUGGCGCCUGUGACCUGGUGGGACUGAGACUAUUCCCCCGCCUCUCAUCUCCAGGAAGAGCACAUUUAGUGUCCAGAGACAUAUGACACAAACCGCAGUGGUGCAGAGAUGGUUGCCCGGAUGUCAACGGGCGCAGGAGACGUGACCGUGGGACUCUGACAGGAAGGAGACCUUGGUUUCAUCAGCCGAGAGGAUGAACGCCUGCGACGUCAAGGCAUCGCUUCACGGAAAGGUCCUGCUUCAAGAGGACGGGAGAGCAGACAGAGCAAGUCCAAGGAUCUUGUCUGAGGCCCUGGUCCAGCUGCUCCUGAACUCUGCAGUUCUCAGCAAGCUAAUAAAUUCUCACUGUUGCUUAAGCUUCUUUUCAUUGGCUUGAAAACGGAAGAAUCCUGACUAACAGCACUUUACAAUUUAAGUGCUACCUGGAUAAUGUCUAUUCUCCCUGUAUUUCAAAGGCAGCUUCUCAAGAAGUCUUUCUUGUGGCUGUGUGCUCCCCCUAAAUUUCUUUUUAUUUUAUCCUUUUCAAAUAAACGCUCCAUAGGGCACAUUAUCCUUAUUAGAACCUGCCUUGAAGAUCUGGUCCAUCCAUAAUCAAGAACAUUCAAAGGUCACUGCAAUAAUUCAUGCUGGGUCACUGACAGCACUCAGUGUCAAGCCAUCCUUACUGCUCACUUGGAUCGUAUCCCAGCUCUGGGCUCUUGGCUUCAGUAUGGAUCCUGAGACCCAGCUGCCAGUUUACUUUCUAGCUGUGACUGGUAACAAAAUGCACCCUGUGUCUCUUACUCUUGUGACAAUGGCCCCAAACCCCAGUCACUUUGGCAGCAGAGGUCUCCCUCGCCGUUCUUCCCAUCAGCCGCUAGCACACCUUGCAAAACUUCCCUAAGGACAAUAAUCCAUAUGGUUUUGAAAUAGUCAACUCUCAGACUGCCCACUGCUGUGGUACAAAUAUUACUGUUUGCUGAAUUUGCCUGAUACCAGCUGCUUAUCAUAACAUCACUGUAUGGACUAAUAUUUCCAUUAUGUACUCGUUAUGUUUCUCCAUGUCCUGAUGGAUCAUUUGUCCUUAGAUCUCAGUAGCUGCCUUUCCAUAGAUCCCAACGUAGGACAAAUACCUAGGUUUAUAUCACGAUUCUCUGCUUAUAUUUUAGGAUCUUACAGCGUCGCUGUCUCCAUGCUGAUAUACUUACGAUACUCUCAUGUGCACUUCCUGCCCAACGUAUAGCGAAAAACAAAACAAAACACUGGACAAAGAAUCAAAACAUCUUGAUUCUAAUUUUGGUUCUGUCAUAUAUCAGUUGUAUGACUUUAGGAAAAUUGUUUAUAACUUCUCAAAUCUUCAUUUCCUUUAUCCGUAAGUUAGGUUAAUAAUACUUGCCCUGUUUUGCUGGAUGUGAAAGCACAUUGUAAACUUUAAAAUACCAUGUGAAUAAACUAUUACUAGGAGGCCCUCUCACGAGCCAGAACUCUUAGACUUUUCUGCAACCACAACCAACCAGACAUACUGUGGACAGCUGGUGACCACUCGUCAAUCCACAAAUGUGUAUGCAAGCAGUCCUAAAACCCACUUGUAAAAGGGAAAUGUUUGCCAGUGAAGUCAGCGAGGUGGUCAGGAGAGAUGAAAAUACUGAGAAAAAAGAAGCGGUAGGAAAUGAUGGGGCAUAAAUGAGAGGAGAAACGCUGGACAGAGUGGAAAGGCAAGAGAACCGCGGAGACAGGUGACCGGGAUGCAAGAUGACCAGCCAGUAACACAACGUCCAAGAGCAAGAGGAGUGGAAAAGGCAGCAGCGCACAGGAAAAGGUGACAGAGCAGACAGGCCUCCGUCGUUCUUAAACAAGAAUUAUCUGCCUGGGAAACCCAGGGACUGAGAUGGAAAGGGGUUCUGUGCUC